AUGGUGCGCAUCGAAACCGAUGGCCGACCAGAUAAGUCCCAUAGCUUCAGGAAUUUCAUUGAUAAGAGCCUUAGCCUGUUGACCAAGGGCAAGAUUUGCCACAAGAUCGGCAUCGAUAUCAAAGACAUCAAGAGCUGCAUCAAGGAGGUCAGUGACCGGCGUGAUAGGUACAAGGUUGACAAUGUGGCUGCUGCCAAGCCCGUCGGUCCAGCUAUUGACACCCUUCGCCUAGCAGCCUUGUAUAGAAAGGCCACAGAGCUCGUUGGCACUGACGAGAAGAGCGUUGAGGUAAUCAAGAUGCUGACGGAGGGAGAUGAGGUUUCGGAGAAAUGUCUAAAAGUGGUCUCUAUUGUUGGAUUUGGUGGAUUGGGCAAGACAACCCUUGCCAAUGCAGUGUAUAAGAAGCUCAGAGUGCAAAUCAGUAUUCAAAAGCAAAAUUUGCAAUUCGAUUGUGCGGCCUUUGUUUCCGUGUCUCUUAAUCGUAAUAUGAAGCAUAUUUUCAAGAGCAUGCUCCAUCAACUUGACAAGUAG
rnacentral:rRNA from 1 species